GAAACUGUGUAGUGAACUGAGCAGUGAUGGGGUCACAUCAAGCCUGGCCCCGCGGUGGCAGUGUCAGAAAGCAGAAUGGAGGCGGCCCCCGCAUCCGCACCAGGGAGACCCAGGUCCCUUUGUGAACCUCCGCACAGCGCCGUGUGAAUGCAACCCUCAUCUUCCAGGUGAGAAAAUCAAUGCUUAAAGAAGCUAAACAACAAAUGAUCUGCCCACCUCGGCCUCGGAAUUGUGAUGGGGAGAGUGUUCCUGCUGCACGGGCGCCCCCAGAUGCACAACGUUCAGCAGAUUGAAGCCUGGGGGUGCUCACGCAUUGGCCAGGGUGGUCUCGAACUGCUGACCUCAGGUGAUCCCCCUGCCUCGGUCUCCCAAAGUGCUUUAGUAGAGACAGGGUUUCACCAUGUUGCCCAGGCUGGUCUCCAACUCCUGACUGCAUGUGAAGAGAGCUCAUUCAUUCAUUCCAGCCCUACACUUUCAUUUUUUUUUUUUUUUUGAGAUGGAGCCUUGCUCUGUUGCCCAGGCUGGAGUGCAGUGGCGCGAUCUUAGCUCUCCUGGGUUCAUGCCAUUCUCCUGCCUCAGCCUCCUGAGUAGCUGGGACUACAGGCACCCGCCACCACGCCCAGCUAAUUUUUUGUAUUUUUAGUAGAGAUGGGGUUUCACCGUGUUAGCCAGGACGGUCUCGAUCUCCUGACCUCGUGAUCCUCCCACCUCAGCCUCCCAAAGUGCUGGGAUUACAGGUGUGAGCCACCGCACCUGGCGGUCACCCACUCUUUAUAUGUGACAGAAUGCCAGUCCCCUAGGCACCAGCAAGAUUGACUACCUGAUUUCUGAAAGCAGAAUACAAGCUGUGAUACCUGGAAUGGGGAGAGCAGAAGCCGAGAGUCACUGAGCUGAGCCAGGCAGGCUCAUGGGACAUGCUGGGGCAGGCAGAUCAGCAUUCUAAGCAGAGGAAGCCUCAAGUGCAAAGGUGAUGUUGCACAAGGCUCCUGAUGAGUAUGAAGGACUGGAGACAGUUGGGUGACAGGUAGUGUGCCAAGUCAGGGAUUAAGUCCUGAUUAUCAGCUCCUCUCCUGAGGCCUUUACAAAUUAUUAUUUAUUUAGAUACAAUUGAGAUAUAAUUCACAUAAGAUCCACCACUUUAAAGGGUAGAAUUAAUUGGUUUUAGUACAUUCACAAUGGUGUGCAAUCAUCACUGCUGUUUAAUUCCAGAACAUUUUUAUUACCCUAAAGCAGAACCCAUUAGCAGUCACUCCCCAUUUCCCUGUUCCCUGGCCCCUGGCAACCUCUAAUGUAUCUUCCGUCGCUUUGAAUUGACCUAUUCUGGAUAUUUCAUAUGAGUGGAAUCACAUUACAUGUGACCUUUUGUGUCUGGCUUCUUUCACUCAGGAUCAUGCUUCAAGGUUCUUCCAUGUUGUAGCACGUAUUAGAAUGACUACAUGGGGACCCUGGCCUGUGCCCACUCAGCCUCUCCUAAGGCCACUCUCGAGGUGUGCCAACAGCCCUGCCUUUCUUCUCCACCUCCUGGUCUGGCUGCCGUGGGUUGCCUCCAUUGGACAGGACACAGCUGCAGAACAGUGUCAGCAUUACCCCAUGCCCCGCUGCCCUGCUGCCCCGCAGAAGAGGCCCCGCAGGCCAUAGCGGGCAAGACCAGAGGCUGUGUGAAAGAGGGAGAGGAGAGGCGGCCCCAAGGCACCCACUGCACAAAUGGAUGCCCAGACUCUACUCACUCACCAUCACCCACCCGGCCAGCCCACGGUUGUCAAAGGCCUCAGCUGGCUAGGAGGGGCGGGAUCUGGCCCUGCUGCCGAGUCCCCUGAAAUCAGCUCAAGCAUCAGGGGAGAGGCACGUGACCAGCCCCU
rnacentral:lncRNA from 1 species